GCGCAAGUGGUGUAGUGGUUUGAAUGUUGGACUGCGAUUCUGGAGAUCAGGGUUUGAUUUCCUGCUUGGCCA